rnacentral:rRNA from 1 species
GGCCGCAUGGCGGCCGCGGGAAUUCGAUUGGGGAAACCCUAUCCAGCCAUUCCGCGUGAGUGAAGAAUGCCUUCGGGUUGUAAAGAUCUUUCAGCCGGAACGAAACGGUACGCUCUAACAUAGCGUGCUAAUGACGGUACCGGCAGAAGAAACACCGGCUAACUACGUGCCAGCAGCCGCGGUAAUACUAAAGGGUCAGCGUUAAUCGUAAUUACUGGGCGUAAAGCGUGCGCAGGCGGAUUAUUAAGAAAGACUUGAAGCCCCGGUUUUAACCUGGUAUUGGCGUUUUGAACUGGUAGUCUAUAGUGUGCCAAGGGGAGUGGAAUUCCACGUGUAACAGUGACAUGUGUAAAUAUGUGGAGUAACACCAAUGGCGAAGGCACCCCCUGGAUAACACGA